CGCUCUACUUUUUGGUCUAUCCCCAGAGCUUUGCGUUGGGGUCAGCCGCUGCGGUCCUGUGGCUUGGCCCGCCCCGCGUGGCAGCGAUAUGGAGGAAUUCGACUCGGAAGACUUCUCCUCCUCAGAGGAGGACGAGGACUACGUGCCUUCGGGUGGAGAGUAUAGUGAAGAUGAUGUAAAUGAAUUAGUGAAGGAAGAUGAAGUGGAUGGUGAAGAGCAAACACAGAAAACCAAAGGGAAAAAAAGAAAGGCUCAGAGCAUUCCUGCCAGGAAGAGAAAACAAGGUGGCCUCUCAUUAGAAGAAGAGGAAGAGGAGGAUGUCAGUGGGGAAUCUGGAGGAAGCAGCAAUGAGGAGGAAGACACAGCUGCAGAGCAAGAAGGAGGCACCAGGUCCGAGGAUGCAAGGAAAAAGAAGGAGGAUGAACUGUGGGCCAGCUUCCUCAACGAUGUGGGACCAAAAUCAAAAGUGCCCUCGAGUCCACAAGUUAAAAAAAGAGAAGAGACUGAAGAGACUAGUUCAAAUAAACUGUUGGUCAAAGCAGAAGAGCUAGAGAAACCUAAAGAAACAGAAAAAGUUAAAAUCACCAAGGUGUUUGAUUUUGCUGGUGAAGAAGUCAGGGUGACUAAGGAGGUAGAUGCUACAUCUAAAGAGGCCAAAUCCUUCCUCAAGCAAAAUGAGAAAGAGAAACCACAGACUAACAUCCCUUCGACUCUAGCGUCACUCCCUGCCGGGUCAGGAUUAAAAAGAUCCAGUGGAAUGAGCAGCCUUUUGGGAAAAAUUGGAGCCAAGAAGCAGAAGAUGAGCACCCUAGAGAAGUCCAAAUUGGACUGGGAGAGCUUCAAGGAGGAAGAGGGCAUUGGUGAAGAACUAGCCAUCCACAAUCGAGGAAAAGAAGGGUAAGAAGAAAAGUUGCUAUUCCUCUGAAAAACCCUAAGAACUCUGAAAUAGUUUAUUAUGGACAGGCCACCCAAUUUAAAUGAAAACUGUACAUUGAACGGAAAGCUUUUCUAGACCGAGUGGAUCACAGGCAGUUUGAAAUUGAGCGAGAUCUCAGGCUGAGCAAAAUGAAACCCUGAUGGUGUGGGGGGACAUCGUAGCGGCUUAAUCCUGUUUACAAUGUGAGCUUCUUGUGGGUCUGUGAAAUGUCUCUAGUGUUUCUCCUCGACUGUUUCCCAGCAAGACCUUUUUUUCUACAUUGAAUUUCUAUCUUUGUAUCUUCAUCUCACAGUUUCAUUCAUUUUUACUUUUAAAAGUUUGUUCUUAAAUAAAAGUUGGUCCUAUAAGAGGCUGGUGAAGUUGAUGACA